UACGUAGGGUGCGAGCGUUAAUCGGAAUUACUGGGCGUAAAGCGUGCGCAGGCGGUUAUGCAAGACAGAUGUGAAAUCCCCGGGCUCAACCUGGGAACUGCAUUUGUGACUGCAUAGCUAGAGUACGGUAGAGGGGGAUGGAAUUCCGCGUGUAGCAGUGAAAUGCGUAGAUAUGCGGAGGAACACCGAUGGCGAAGGCAAUCCCCUGGACCUGUACUGACGCUCAUGCGACGAAAGCGUGGGGAGCAAACGAGG
rnacentral:rRNA from 1 species